rnacentral:siRNA from 1 species
GGCUGGCAGGUAACGUUAUUAUU